CCUACGGGAGGCAGCAGUAGGGAAUCUUCCGCAAUGGACGAAAGUCUGACGGAGCAACGCCGCGUGAACGAUGAAGGCCUUCGGGUCGUAAAGUUCUGUUGUUAGGGAAGAACAAGUGCUAGUUGAAUAAGCUGGCACCUUGACGGUACCUAACCAGAAAGCCACGGCUAACUACGUGCCAGCAGCCGCGGUAAUACGUAGGUGGCAAGCGUUGUCCGGAAUUAUUGGGCGUAAAGCGCGCGCAGGCGGUUUCUUAAGUCUGAUGUGAAAGCCCCCGGCUCAACCGGGGAGGGUCAUUGGAAACUGGGAAACUUGAGUGCAGAAGAGGAAAGUGGAAUUCCAAGUGUAGCGGUGAAAUGCGUAGAGAUUUGGAGGAACACCAGUGGCGAAGGCGACUUUCUGGUCUGUAACUGACGCUGAGGCGCGAAAGCGUGGGGAGCAAACAGGAUUAGAUACCCUGGUAGUCCACGCUGUAAACGAUGAGUGCUAAGUGUUAGAGGGUUUCCGCCCUUUAGUGCUGAAGUUAACGCAUUAAGCACUCCGCCGUCGGGAGGUACGGUCGGCGAGACGUAGAAACGUUAAAGGUAAAGUUAGUACGGCGUGAGACGUGCCGACGGACGACGACGAGGGGAGGUAGG
rnacentral:rRNA from 1 species